UGGGGAAUUUUGGACAAUGGGCGAAAGCCUGAUCCAGCAAUGCCGCGUGUGUGAAGAAGGCCUUCGGGUUGUAAAGCACUUUUGUCCGGAAAGAAAUCCUUGGCUCUAAUACAGUCGGGGGAUGACGGUACCGGAAGAAUAAGCACCGGCUAACUACGUGCCAGCAGCCGCGGUAAUACGUAGGGUGCAAGCGUUAAUCGGAAUUACUGGGCGUAAAGCGUGCGCAGGCGGUUUGCUAAGACCGAUGUGAAAUCCCCGGGCUCAACCUGGGAACUGCAUUGGUGACUGGCAGGCUAGAGUAUGGCAGAGGGGGUAGAAUUCCACGUGUAGCAGUGAAAUGCGUAGAGAUGUGGAGGAAUACCGAUGGCGAAGGCAGCCCCCUGGGCCAAUACUGACGCUCAUGCACGAAAGCGUGGGGAGCAAACAGGAUUAGAUACCCUGGUAGUCCACGCCCUAAAACGAUGUCAACUAGUUGUUGGGGAUUCAUUCCUUAGUAACGUAGCUAACGCGUGAAGUUGACCGCCUGGGGAGUACGGUCGCAAGAUUAAAACUCAAAGGAAUUGACGGGGUCAUAGCUGUUUCCU
rnacentral:rRNA from 1 species